rnacentral:lncRNA from 10 species
CUGCCCCAAGACCCACAUGAGUCUUACCCCAGUGUCUCCUUUAGAGUCCUGGAGCAAGAAGGAGGGAUUCCCAGUGAUAUCUGGUUGGACAUUACGUGCUAAUUUGGGUCAUCUCCUGAGUGUGACCUUCAGCCAGCCAUUGGUCACCUUACGUGCAAGUAGGGCAUGAGUGGCAUUCCAUGUAUAAACCACGUGACAGCUCGGAAAGCAGACGGUCCUGUAAGUGUAACCCACAGACUGAAAAUGACCCAUGGCAAAGGGCAAUGCGUGCAUGAUUUUUAUGCUGGAAUUCAUGAUGGAACAUUCUGGAUUCCUCCCAGCAAACCUGAGCUGGCCUGCUCUGUUGGGCAGCGAGGUCUGCUCAGAGAGACGCUGGUGUUUAUCUGCCACAUCCUUUAGUUUUUAUUGCACUCAGUCGCCUUGUAUAUUUAAUGAGGAAAUUUGCUGAAAUGGUUACUAAGCCACAGGGGGAAAAAAAGGAAGGAGGUGGGGAGCCACUCUCCGACCCUGAAGUUGGCAAAGUUGCCUCAUUAAUCAGACCUGUGCUGGGAUACGACGUUAUUCAUGUUUAGGGCAUUAAAACUUGAAGCUAAAAUUGUAGCAGGCGGUAAUUUGAGUACAGGCAGCCUGUCUCUCUGCGAUAGAUUUAUGAUGUUUACUCAACAAUGGAUGGGAACUUUCAGGGAAAGACUGACCGCCCCCAACCCCCGCCUUUUCAAAACACAUUGUCAGGCCACAGUGAUCAAGUUCCCGAUUUUUGUGUGAGUAUGCAGAGCCUUUUUAAAAGUCUUCAGGGUGAUAAGAGCAGACUGUAUUCGAUCUUCUCCAUUCUGAGCUCAGCGGAAGUAGGAAAAUAUGCAAGGCAGAUGGAAUGAGCUGUCUACCAGGCGAAUGGUGGUUGCCAUGCUCUCUGACUACACUGCUCUUCCUGAAGUGACCGGUGCAGUGCCACCCCCACCGGCCUUGAUGUUGAAUCUGGAACAUCUGGUCACUGUGUCACCUCAUCAGGACCUCAAAGAAUUCCCGACAAAAGCUUUCAUGUUCCCGGCUGAGGGUCUUGCUUUCCUGUGCUUCAAGGUUACAAUUCUUGGAACUGAUUGCUGGGAAUUUCAGGAAAGUGAGGGUUCCCAUUUUCCAAGUUUUCCCACCUCCUUUCUGUCAUGACACACAGACAGACGGAGGCCACAUCCAUCUCUGUCAGUCCAGGCAGACUUUGCCUUCAGGUCUCACAUAGCAAAGGAAGAGGCAUCAGCCUAGCCUUGGGUCUUGCCACUCAGAUGGGAAGCCCUUUCUGUAAGAGGAUUCCUUUAAGAUGUGGCACAAAGAACAUUUAUACUGCACUUGGACAGGAAGGCCCCCAAGUGCAUGAAAGCACUUUACAGUGUUCAUCUCCUCUCCCUGGCACAGGUGUAGCAGAGGUGAGACCCAGUUCUGGUCACUCUGGCUGUUAGCUUUGCUUUUAGCUUUGCCCUGGGCCUGGUGUGUUGGUGAUGAAUUGCAGAUAAUACCACCAACCACAUAGGGCUGUUUUGCAAACUAAGUUGACAUUUUAAGCAGUUUGGUUAAACAAACCAACUUUGAGUAUGGGCUCUGCCACCUCCUAAGGGAGUCAUUUUGGGUAAGUUACUGGCUCCCUCUGAUCUUUAUUUCACCAUUGUGAGAUGGGAUGAAGCUAUUAUCUGCCUCACUGGGCCAUUGCUGAGUAUGUGGAAGUGCUUUUUUUUUUUUUUUUAAGACAAAAUAUGCUAGUAGAUUUUCAAUAAAUGUUAGGUUCUAUUCUCAAUAUUAUGGAAAGAUGCACUUCUUGAAUUUGGGGAAGAAACAAAGGAGAUUGUAUUUUAUGCCAAAGUCAUAAGCGCUGACGCAUAUCAAACCACAAAUAUUUCUAUCAUCCAGGCUGUGGGGGGAUCAACAUGUCACCCCAUCAUGUGACAGUUAGAUAAAGGAUAUGAAAGUCCUGCCUAGAGUGGACACUAUAAUUUUGUAAGCUUUUCUUUAAGAGGGUCUCUGACUUUUCAGUCUUCUGUGUUUGUUUUGUCAUUUAAGUUCAUGUGCUGCAACGGAUUUAAAGUAGACACUACUUCCCUCUGCCCUGCCCGGCAGUUACACAUGAGAAUUUUUCAGUUUGAACUAAAUACAAGGAAUAUUAAGUUAGACUUAAAGAAAUAGCCCCCAACUUGCAACAAGUGGGGCAGUAAAUAAAGGGAGCCCUUUUCUACAGGGGCUGAAUGGGAGAGGAGAGCUAAAGGAGUUUGGGAGGUGAAAGCAACUGUAAUGAUUUAUCAUCAGGGAAGACUUAUUUACCCAUGGAAGGAAUACUUUAAAAUCUACCUUUCUCAUAAUAAGGUAUGCUCAUAUGCACAGCACAACUUAAAUACAAGUAUUUAUGUAGUUUUGCAAGGAGCUUGCAAGGUUAGAAACACACACACACACACACAUUUGAACUAUGUUCAGUAACACUACCUAUGCAGUCUUUGAAAAACUACUAUAGAUCAUCUGGCUAGGGAACUGUGAGUCUCAUCUGUACCCACAUGAUCCCAAAGAGGAGGGGCCCUGUAGAAACAAGAACCAACCAACAAAAAGCAGUGACAACAGGCACCAUGACAACAAAAGGAGUUUUAAAGUGCAUCUUCAAAUAGCACACAAUUUUCCAAUUUAAAUAGUUUGGAAUGAAUCAAAGGGAAAAAAGCAUUAAUUAGAUACAACUGAAUUUCUCAAAAGUAUAUUAACACAGCCUACAAAUAAAUCCUCAAAUGUACCACUCUCAACAAAUCUUGUAUUGACUGACAUUCUCUGUCAACUAGAGAGGAUGCAGGCAGGAAAAUGAAUGAAAUUUCCAUUCUUCAGUGUUUACCUGAUGUCUCAGGUUGUUUGCUUUGGGGGAGUGGCUGUUUGCAGGGCUAUGGGAAUUUGUGAAACACUUUGCUAGUGAAGCCAGCUGAGGCCUUCGGGACCAAAUCGCCAAAUGAAUGACAGAGGAUCCUUGCAGUAGCUUUGUCUGUCUGCAGAGCGGACUCCUGUGAGUGUUCAUCACAUUUAAAGAAGUAACAUGCCGGGAGAACGGAAAAGGGUGCUAAUGAUUUACAAGCGAAGAUAAGAUAUUAUUAGGAGUACGAGGUCAAUCAGAUAAAGAUACCAUACACACAACUUGGACUUGGGCCCAUUCUUUAAUUUAUUCUGAAAGGAAGAGGAGGAGGAAAGGAUGGGGCCUGAGAGUGUUAGCAAUUGGCUUCCCGCAAGCUGCCUGUUUUAACACUCCUUGUGAUUUAUUUCAAUCUCAUCUUUUACAAAGGUACGGCAAUUUGUUCCAUUUUCCUGCUUCCUUCUCCUCUUCCUCCUUCUUCUAAGAUGGCAGAGAGAAACUUUCUUACAGGUCCCAGCAACACUGCCGUAUAGCUUAGAAGACUGGAGAUAUUUAUUCUCAAUGUCCUCAGUUUACUUUGCAACUGGAGCAUUAUUUGAAAGACGGCCUGCCAGCAUUCAACUGAACAGACACAAAUGCAGGUAUGAAUAGUGAGGGGAGAGAGUGGUUUGAAGGCUGGGGUUGCUGUCAGGUCUGAUGAACCCUCCAGCACUCGCCAUCAUCGGCUACAAUGUUGAGGAGACUCCAUCACAACCUCAGAUCAAAAGUGUUUCUUUGUUCCUCCAAACCUUCCAAAGCACUUUAUGGACCUUGUAUUUGGACAACACCUCCAUGAAGCUUGGAAGCCAAUAAGUCACAUCUUCAUUGAACAAUUCAUGAAAUUACAGGGCAGACGUGAAAUAUGACCUUCGAGGGAAAAGCUGGCGGUGGAGCCCAGAACUUCAUUUUGCUGGGAUGGUUCCCUGCCGUUAUUCUCCUUUCUCACGAAAGGAUCCUGCAGUCAAUUUACGGCAUUUGUAAAUAAAGGCGGCUGUGUCAGCCUCCUGCCUGGAGAAAGGAAGGCAGCACCUUGAAUGCUGAGAGUGUAUCUCAGGCUUACUCUAUACUUCCAUUACAAUAUCUCAGAAGUUAUAACAGAUGAAGAUGGGGCGAGGUGGUCAAGGUAAGACCGGGGUCAGCAGGGCAAUGGCGUGUGAGGAGUUUCUCAUUAGAAAACACAAAUGGGGAUUUGGAUUGGUUGUUUUUCUUGUCUCAGAAAUCUUCUUCAGAAUGACCUCCCCACCCCUGCUUUGUCUUUGAAAGUUUUGCCAUGUUUGAAUUGGCAUACUUACACAUUGUAAUGAUUUUUCUUCCAUCAAUUAAAAACAAAGCUAUUUUUUGGCCAAGUGUCUCCUGAAGCAAAGUUAAGAAACAGAAUAAGAAGGUUUUGAGUCACGCACAAGACUGAAAAUUAGCUAAUAAAAACCCUUUUCCCCCCAUUUCCUCAAAACUCAGUUCUCAGAAAAACAAUUCUGGAUGCACCCUGUUUACCAGCAAGGUUAAAAGUUCAAGAAAAGAAAGACAUCACAAUAUUUACACUCAGGCAAAUCACUGUUCAUCUACCGCGUCUGACCCUGCAGAUUUGGGAGCGGGCCGCUGUCCUGCCUGUCAAAGGGAGAGGAAGCAGUGUCUGUCUGGCUGGCCCUAUAUUUGCUCCUGUUGUCUCACUCUCUGCCACCAGUUUUGUUUUUUGUUGUUUGUUUGUUUUUGUUUAUUUGUUUUUUCUAAGACUGCCGGCAUCCCUUCUUUCUAGAUCGUCUUGUCUUUCUUUUGAUAUUUUAUUUUCAUGGAUAAGAUCGCUAGGACCCCAUCAGAGUAUUUUUCUGAUGGCACGAUGCUACUACUUUCUGAUAUAUUUAUUUCAUUCUCAAUAUUUGAAUCUAUGAAAUAAAAUAAUAGUGAUAAUAGCCAC